rnacentral:rRNA from 1 species
GACGAACGCUGGCGGCGUGCUUAACACAUGCAAGUCGAACGGAAAGGCCCUGCUUUUGUGGGGUGCUCGAGUGGCGAACGGGUGAGUAACACGUGAGUAACCUGCCCUUGACUUUGGGAUAACUUCAGGAAACUGGGGCUAAUACCGGAUAGGAGCUCCUGCUGCAUGGUGGGGGUGGAAAGUUUCGGCGGUUGGGGAUGGACUCGCGGCUUAUCAGCUUGUUGGUGGGGUAGUGGCUUACCAAGGCUUUGACGGGUAGCCGGCCUGAGAGGGUGACCGGCCACAUUGGGACUGAGAUACGGCCCAGACUCCUACGGGAGGCAGCAGUGGGGAAUAUUGCACAAUGGGCGGAAGCCUGAUGCAGCAACGCCGCGUGCGGGAUGACGGCCUUCGGGUGGUAAACCGCUUUCGCCUGUGACGAAGCGUGAGUGACGGUAAUGGGGAAAGAAGCACCGGCUAACUACGU